UGAGUAAUUUUUUAUAUUUCGUUAUGCUAGAUGCCGCAGAUAACGCCAGCCGAAGUCCAAAAAAUAUAAAUCAAAUGGAAAUCUUUUAUAGCGAUUUGUGUGAAGAUUUCAGAUGUUAAUUCGUCAUUCGACAGUCAAUACCAUCCCCGGCCAUGUCACUACCGUUCUACUGACGGAGUUUCACCUCGUCCUGGUCCUUUUUUUCCAGUCUAUGCCAUCAGUAGUCGGUGUCACCACUCCAACAGCCUAGAGAAUAGCCAUUCAACUCCUCAUGAUUGUUCUUUUUCUCUGUGGUUCAUCGCACUCACACCGUAAUCGUUUUCGUCUCCAUUAUGAUGUUUCACGUCGUAAUUAGUCAUUGACGUCAGGCAGCACAGACCGUGGCCGUGCUGAUCAAACUUCUGCCGUAAGUGAUCGAUCCCCUCAACCAUGUCAUUGUCAUCGUUCACGUCGCGAUCAGCCCUUCACGUCAAGCAGCAAAGAUGAAAGCCGUGGGCUUCCUGUCCAAGUUUCUGUUGUUAAAGGUUUUCAUUUCAUGCAUAUAGUGUUAUUUACUAUGCUAGUGUUUAUUGUACAACUUCAGGUGGUUAUUCGUCGUUUC